UACGGAGGGUGCGAACGUUAAUCGGAAUCACUGGGCGUAAAGCGCGCGUAGGCGGUUUGUUAAGUGGGAUGUGAAAUCCCCGGGCUUAACCUGGGAAUUGCAUUUCAAACUGGCCGACUAGAGUACGGUAGAGGGAGGUAGAAUUUCCUGUGUAGCGGUGAAAUGCGUAGAUAUAGGAAGGAAUACCAGUGGCGAAGGCGGCCUCCUGGAUCGAUACUGACGCUGAGGAGCGAAAGCGUGGGGAGCGAACAGG
rnacentral:rRNA from 1 species